UUUUAAAUAAUUAUUAAUUUUUUCUUAACAAAUUUAUUUAAUUAAAAAUAAUUAAGUAUUAGUUUACUUUAAAAAAUAUAUAAUUUAUGAUAGAUUAUUAGUAUUGUGAAAGAAAUUAUUUUAAAAUUUUAAAGAAAAAUUUAAUUUUUGUACCUUGUGUAUCAGGGUUUAUUAAUUUAAUUACUUAUAGUAAACUUCUCGAAUUAAGAAGAUCUAGAUUUAUAUAUUUUAAUUGUAACAUAAAUUUUAUAUAUAUAAUUCUUGAAAUGAAACGUUAUUCGUUUCUUAUAUAUCUAGUUGUAAAAGAAACUUAUUUAAUAAGAUUUUUAUAUAUUAAAAAUUUAAUUUUUAAAAUUUUUGAUUAUAAAAGUUUAUAAUUAUUGGGAUAAACUUGUAAUUAUAUAAAUAUAAUUUUUAGAUUGAAAUAAUUUUAUAGGAUUAGAAAUUUCCAUUUUAUAGUUUGCUAUAAUUAAUUUAUUUUCAAUAAUAAUUUAUAAAAAUUUAUUUAGUUUAUUUUACUUAUUUAUUUAAUAUAAAUAUAAAUUUAAUAAUGAUAAAAUUAGUAAUUUUUGUGUAUAAAUUUAUUAACAUUUAAGAUUAUUUUAAGGAACUCGGCAAAUAAAUUUUCGCCUGUUUAUUAAAAACAUGUCUUUUUGAUAAUAAUUUAAAGUCGGGCCUGCCCAAUGAAAAAUUUAAUGGCUGCAGUAUUUUGACUGUACAAAGGUAGCAUAAUCAUUAGUUUUUUAAAUGAAAACUAGAAUGAAUGGUUUGACGAAAAAUUUUCUGUCUCAAUAUAAAUAAUGAAUUUUAUUUUUCAGUAAAAAAGCUGAAAUAAUAUUAAAAGACGAGAAGACCCUAUAGAGUUUUAUAUAAAUUUUAGAUAAAUUAUUAAUUUUAUUUUAUUAUUUAUAUUUUAUUGGGGUGAUAAGAAAAUUUAAUAAACUUUUCUUAAUUUUUACAUUUAUAUAUGAAAUUAUGAUCCAUAAUUUAUGAUUAAAAGAACAAAUUACCUUAGGGAUAACAGCGUAAUUUAUUUUAAGAGCUCUAAUCGAAAAAUAAGUUUGCGACCUCGAUGUUGGAUUAAAAUUUAUAAAUAGUGCAAAAGCUAUUCUAUUAGGUCUGUUCGACCUUUAAAAUUUUACAUGAUCUGAGUUUAAACCGGCGUGAGCCAGGUUGGUUUCUAUCUUUAAUUAAUAUAUUCAGUUUAGUACGAAAGGAUCAAUUGAAUAUUAUAAUAAUUUAAUUAGAAUAAAAUU
rnacentral:rRNA from 1 species